CUCGACCUCAUGAAGCCGGAAUCACUAGUAAUCGUGAAUCAGCUAUGUCACGGUGAAUACGUUCUCGGAUCUUGUACUCACCGCCCGUCACACCAAGAGAGUCGGUAAUACCCGAAGGCCCUGUUUUAAAGCAGGGACCACGGUAGGAUCGAUGAUAAGGGUGAAGUCGUAACAAGGCAUCGGUAGCGGAAGCUGUCGAUGGAUCACCUCCUUUCUAGGGA
rnacentral:rRNA from 1 species